rnacentral:rRNA from 1 species
UAGCAUAUCAAUAAGCGGAGGAAAAGAAACCAACAGGGAUUGCCCUAGUAACGGCGAGUGAAGCGGCAACAGCUCAAAUUUGAAAUCUGGCCCUCGGGUCCGAAUUGUAAUUUGUAGAGGAUGCUUUUGGUGAGGUACCUUCCGAGUUCCCUGGAACGGGACGCCAUAGAGGGUGAGAGCCCCGUCUGGUUGGAUACCGAUCCUCUGUAAAGCUCCUUCGACGAGUCGAGUAGUUUGGGAAUGCUGCUCUAAAUGGGAGGUAUAUGUCUUCUAAAGCUAAAUAUUGGCCAGAGACCGAUAGCGCACAAGUAGAGUGAUCGAAAGAUGAAAAGCACUUUGAAAAGAGAGUUAAAAAGUACGUGAAAUUGUUGAAAGGGAAGCGCUCAUGACCAGACUUGGGCUUGGUUGAUCAUCCAGGGUUCUCCCUGGUGCACUCUUCCAGCCCAGGCCAGCAUCAGUUCGCUGUGGGGGAUAAAGGCUUUGGGAAUGUGGCUCCUCCGGGAGUGUUAUAGCCCAUUGUGUAAUACCCUGUGGUGGACUGAGGUUCGCGCAUCUGCAAGGAUGCUGGCGUAAUGGUCAUCAGCGACCCGUCUUGAAACACGGACCAAGGAGUCGUCUUCGUAUGCGAGUGUUCGGGUGUUAAACCCCUACGCGUAAUGAAAGUGAACGCAGGUGAGAGCUUCGGCGCAUCAUCGACCGAUCCUGAUGUUCUCGGAUGGAUUUGAGUAAGAGCAUACGGGGCCGGACCCGAAAGAAGGUGAACUAUGCCUGUAUAGGGUGAAGCCAGAGGAAACUCUGGUGGAGGCUCGCAGCGGUUCUGACGUGCAAAUCGAUCGUCAAAUAUGGGCAUGGGGGCGAAAGACUAAUCGAACCUUCUAGUAGCUGGUUUCCGCCGA